rnacentral:pre_miRNA from 1 species
UAAAUACUCCCUCCGUUCCAAAAUAGAUGACUCAACUUUGUACUAACUUUAGUACAAAAUUGAGUCAUCUAUUUUGGAACGGAGGGAGUACAAG